rnacentral:lncRNA from 1 species
GGUUGUGGCUGUGGCUGUGGUGUAGGCCAGUGGCUACAGCCUCGAUUUGACCCUUGGCCUGGGAACCUCCAUAUGACACUGGAGCCGCCCAAGAAAUGGCAAAAAGACAAAAAAAAAAAAAAAAAAAAAAAAAAAAAAAANAAAAAAAAAAUUUACUUGACUGAAGUAGAGUUGAUUUACGAUGUUGUGUUAGUUUCAGGCGUACAGCAAAGUGACUCGUGUAUUUGUGUGUGUGUGUGUGUGUGUACACGUAUCUCUGAUGUGUAUGUAUAUACACACACAUCCUUUUUCAUACUCCUUUCCAGGGUGGUUUGUCACAGGAUGCUGAAUGUAGUUCGCUGUAGGGCAGGAGCCUGUUGUUUGUCCAUCCUGCAUACGUCUGCCUCUGCAAGACCCAAGCUCACUCCCAGUCCUUCCCUGCCCCACCCGCCUCCCCUUCGGCAGCCACAAGUCUGUUCCCUCUGUCCCAGAGUCUGCUUCUGCCUCGUAGACACGUUCGUUUGUGUUGAGUGUUUGUGAAGUUUCGUUAGAGUUGCUUUACGCGGGUGUGAUCAUGUCCGCUCUGCAACAACGUGAUUCAGGGACCCCUGUACCCACAGCCUUUCUCUCCCAGAUUCUCUUCCCACACAGAGGAUCCCAGAAUAUCGGGUAGAGGUCUCUGGGCUGCACGGCAGGUCCCCACUGGCCAGGACAACUCAGCGUACAGAUGCCAGUCCCAAACCCCAGGCUAUCUCUCCUCCCCCACAACUGUCCGCUUUGGUAACCGUACGCUUGUUUUCGAAGUCUGCCUGUCUGUUUCUGUUCUGCAGAUCAGUUUGUGCCACAUUUGAGACGCCACGUAUAAAUGAUAUCAUGUGACAUUUGUCUUCCACUGUCUGACUGACCUCACUUAGCAGGAGCAUCUCUAGGUCCGUCCCUGUUGCUGCAAACGGCAUCAUUUCACUCUUUUUACGGCUAACACUCCAUCGUGUAUAUGGACUACGUCUUCUUGAUCCAGUCCUCUGUUGAUGGACGUUUGGGGUGCUUCCAUGUCUCAGCUGUUCUGCAUAGAGCUGCAGUGAAUACUAGGGCGCACGUAUCUUUGUGAAUUACUGGUUCCUCCAGAGAGAGGCCCAGGCGUGGGAUUGCUGGUGGCAGUUCUGGUUUUAGUUUUUGCGUCCCCUCCGUACUGUUCCCCACAGUGGCAGCACCAGGUGACCUUCCCACCAGCAGUGUAGGUAGGUGGUUUUGUGAUCCCUGGCCUGGAGGACGAGAGUCCAGAGGGAAAGAGAAACUUUCCAUCCCCUCUUCCCUUCCGUGCAGUUCACGGGAUCCACAAACAACGCCUCCGGGAGAGGAACUGUUUUUAUCCUCAACACACUGAGUUGGAACCGCUAUUAAGAAAACUGCACAAGAACCCAGCUGGGAAGUGAAAGAGCCAAAACGCACUCCCACGCCGCGUUACUCCACAGCCUGCUCACUGCCACGUGUUACUACCCCACGGCUACGGGCGAGGGCUCGCUGCCUGGGGGGCACGGCAGCCAGCACCGCAGGCCCAGCUUUUGAGGAAAGAGGAGGCUUUGUUGCCAGGCCCAUGGCCAGGAAACAGGAGGCAGGGCUUCCAUCUGUCUUUCCCGUCCAGGGUUCAGGGUAAAAUUUAAGGGGUUCAGGGGACUUCAGACGUGGAAGCCAAUGGGCUCGUCUCAGUCCGUAGAAGCUGCUGGACGCCAGACUUUCCUCAUUGAAGGACGUCUCCCUUCCUCAAGGGCCCUGCCUGUAACACUUGCAUCCUUUGGGUCGCAGACUGAAGAAUCUUGGUUCCAGGGUCCCCUGAGAACGUGGGUUCCCAGGCUGGGGGUCCAAUCAGAGCUACAGCUGCUGGCCUCCACCACAGCUCACAGCUACGCCAGAUCCGAGCCUUGUCUGUGACCUAAACCACAGCUCACAGCAAUGCUGGAUCCUUCACCCACCAGAGGCCAGGGAUCGAACUUGCAUCCUCAUGGAUCCUCGUCGGCUUCAUUACCACAAGGGGAACUCUCUCGGGUCUCAUUUUAAAACCCAUUCCUGUUGAUGGAUGAGGUCUACGUAUAUCCUCAGGUGUCUUGAGGGACUUGUGAUCCCCCCGCUUCCCCCCCCCACCACACACACACACAGCCCUUCCACACGGAUGGCCGGUUGGGGCUGGAGAAACACAGUUCCCUCCAUCUCUUCAGCACCCCCCACCAGGGGGUGAGAAGCAGCCCUGAGUGUGCAAGGACCUCCCCACCCCUCCGUGUUCGUCUCUCUCCCUUCAUCCUCUCCAUCCCCUGCGUCCAGGACACCUCCGAGCCCUCUCCCUGCACUGUCCCCGCUGAUGAGCAGCAAAACCCCUGGCUGACCACGCUGCCUCCACACCAGCCCUGGACGACUUUCUCCUUUUUAAAAAUCUUCCGCCAUGUUCACUUGACCCAAGGAACCCUUGUGUGACCACGUCGAAGUUUCAUCGGCAUCCCAAGGACAAGCCCCGCGCUCCAGCCUCCGACUCGCUGUGCGGGGGUCUCGGGUGUGCCUCGCAGUGACAGCGCUUCUCCGUCUGAAAGUUACCUUGAUCACAUACCCUUGACACAUUUCAGGAUUUCUUAUGAUCGACGGUGGCGAGAGAGGUUGCCAGCAGCCAAGCGUCCCAAACACACCUUGAAAUGUUUCCAUAACUAGUCGAGUCUGUUUUCCGAAUUGAUUUUACGCCGUUAAGAUGGAAUCAACUGCAAACAUCCCACCCUGUCCGUUGCUGAGCUACAUCUCACGGCAGGGGCAGGUCUUGUCGUGGUGGGGGUGGGUCCUGUGGCGGGGACGGGUCUUGUCACAGUGGGGAUGGGUCUUUUCAUGGCGGGGACGGAUCUUGUUGUUGUGGGGACGGGUCUUUUCAUGGCGGGGAUGGGUCCUGUCAUGGUGGGGACGGGUCUUCUUGUUGUGGGCAUGGGUCCUGUCACAGUGGGGACGGGUCUUUUCAUGUCGGGGAUGGGUCUUGUUGCGGGGAUGGGUCUGGUCACAGCAGGGAUGUGCCAGGGGUUGCAGAUAAAGGGCACUGGUCAGCUUGUAGAUGUUGUGCGUAUGGAGCUGCUGUAUAUAUACCCUUGCAUUCACAUUUUUCUCAGUGUAAGUCCUUUUUUGUAGAUUGAACAGCUCAGAGUGGGAAAUUUGGGUCAAACGGUAAAAGUGUGUUUAAUUAUAAAAGAGAGGGACCAGAGUUCCCUGGUGGCUCAGCGGGUUAAGGAUCCAGCGUUGUCACUGCAGUGGGUUCGAUCUCUGGCCCUGGAACCUCCACAUGCUGCAGGCACGGCCAAAAGAAAUUUUUUAAUAAAAAAUUUUAAAAAGAGACAGACUGUCUUCCUGGUGGAUGCGCCAUUCCACACCCCUCAGCAGCGGUGGGAGUUGCAGCUGCCCCACAACCCUUGGGAGGGUCAGUGGUGCUCCCGAGGCUCCCAGAGGCCAUGUGAUGUCUGACUGCACCCAGCUUCAGUCCUCCCGGGGCUGGUGAUGCAAACCCUUUCAAGUGCCUCCCCAGACCCUUCCUGGUGAACCGUCUGUGCAAGUCUCCUUUUUCAUUUUCUGAUUUUGAUUUCAGGCUGCACCCAUGGCAUGUGAAAAUUCCCAGGCCAGGGAUCAAACCCUCAUCACAGCAGUGACCUGAGCCUCUGCUGUGACAACAUCAGACCCUUAACUCUCUGUGCCACCAGGGAACUCCUGCAAGUCUCUUUUUUUUUUAGAGUAAAAGUGUAUAUAUGUAAGGAGUUCCCAUCGUGGCGCAGUGGUUAACGAAUCUGACGAGGAACCAUGAGGUUUCGAGUUCGAUCCCUGGCCUUGCUCAGUGGGUUCAGGAUCUGGCGUUGGCAUGAGCUGUGGUGUAGGUCGCAGACGCGGCUUGGUUCCCGUGUUGCUGUGGCUGUGGUGUAGGCCGGUAGCUACAGCUCCGAUCAGACCCCUAGCCUGGGAACCUCCAUGUGCCGCGGGUGUGGCCCUAGAAAAGGCAAAAAGACCACAAAAAAGUGCACAUAUGUAAGGUGUACAGCAUGAGUUGUUAUACACACACAUAGUGAAAUGAUUACCACACUAAUUCACAAACACAGUUGCCCUUGAGAGCCCCUGAAAUCUCCCCUCUGAGGAAAUGUCCAGUAUUCCCCACGCUGUUAUUAACCGCAGUCACCGGGCUGCACGCAAGCUCUCCGGACUCACGCACCCCACAGACCUUCAGCCAUCCUCCCCACCACAACCGCAGUUCUACCCCCGGCUUCUAUGCAUUUGCCGUUUUCAACUUCCACGGGUGUGAAAUCUUUUUUUCUUUUUCUUUCUGUGCCUGGCUUAUGUAAUGCACCCUGCUGUCCUCCAAGCUCACCUGUGUUUGUUUCAAAUGGAAGGACCCCUUUCCUGUUUAAGGCUGCGUCAUAUUCCAUCGUACCUGGACCCCACCAUUUCUUUAUCAGUUCGUCUGUCUGUGGACACGUAGGCUGUUCGGAUCUUUUGCCUGCUUGCUGACUGGCUCAUUUGUCUUUAUGCAGAGAUGUCUUCGUUCCUCUCCCCUCACUGAUUUUAUGAGUAAGCACAUGGAAGCACAGAGAGGUUAAGUGACUUGCCUGAAUAUGCACAGCUGAUAACCAGCAGAGCCAGAAAACAGGAAUCCACGCCACCUCCUUGGUGGGAAGAACAGCAGAGAGGAGAGAGGCCCUUACUCCUUGUGAGUGUGUGUGUGUGUGUGUGUGUGUGUGUGUGCACUCAGUUCUGACUUUUACAAACAUGCGGCCAUUCCAUGUUCUGAGACACGCUCCAGACACGGAUUGUUCAAGGAUCUCCACAGGGCCUGGCCGGUACCCACCUCGGGGCCUUUGCACCUGCUAUGCCCUCAGCCAGGAAAGGGGAAGGACUUUCUCUUUCCCGUCAUCCCCUUCUCAUGUCAAGUCUCAGCCCCCACAUCACAGCCUCCGAGGGCCAUGUCCAAACUUACCCUCUGGGGUUGGCUCAUUAAGCUGCUGACCGCCCCUCUUUCCAAGGCGGGUUUAAACUCUACGUGCUCAGGCAGCUUGUUCAGGAUGGGUCAUACUUCAUCCACCACUGGCUCCCGGGAGGGAGGGACCUGGGUGGGCCUGGCCUCACCAGGUGAACCUUCCAAAGCUGAGCCUUGGCUCAGACUGGUCAGCUGCUCCCAGAGAAACACAGAGACAGGGUCCCGCCGGCCUGGACGAGGAAGAAGCAGCUGCGGUUGUGUGCAUCCCUGGAGAAGGACGCAGCCCCCCUCGGACAGGCAGAGAGACGACUCGCCCCCGAGCCCAGCAACCGCAGGGGUAGGUCUGCCUGCAGCCAGGCGGGGGCGUGUGCGCGCGCAUGCGCGUGUGUGCCCUCGGGUAAGGCCCCGGCCUGGAGAACACGGUGACCGACUCAGCGACCCACGCCCGGGACCCUGAGCCGGGAAGCCGGCAUACGGUACCCUUUGUGCCGCCUUAAGCGGCUGAGUCGGUGGUGACUUGUGACACAGCAGCAGAAAACCAGCCCGCCUUCCACGGGCCAUUCCACGGACACUGCCUGACCUGCUCAUGGCUGCCCCCGAAGCCCCCACGCAGGGCGGAGGCAGGGGUCCAGGAGGUCUGCUCGGCCCCCCUCGCACCCCCAGACCCUCGUGAUGGGGGCUUCCGUUCUCGAGUUAGAGGGAACGCUUUGGGGCCAUCGGUGAGUUAUGGGACCAGCCGGGUGUCACAGACCUGGUCCCCAGCCUGGCUUUGCUCCUUCUGGCUGGUGUCAGAAGCUCUGUGACCCCAAGCGGUUCCUUCAUAAAGUGGGGCCCGUUCAGUGCCUUCCCCGUGGGCUCGUGGAAUUGAAUAACUGGAUCUGUUUCUAAAGCACUUGGCACAGGGUCUGGAAACGCCGCCGACCUGUUACCUGAAGUCACUGCAUCCAGACCUGCCCUCCCACAUGUAUAACAUCUGUGCCAGGGCACACGCAGGCGCUGUUAAAUGUCUCUCUCACAUACACACACACACAGAGUCCCAAACAGACACCCUCCCCCUUCCAAAGCCCAGAUCAUCAGCAUUUGUUCAGUAGGCACGUCAUUGACACUGAGCAGCCUCAAGACGCUGUGCAGGACGCAUAGGGCAGCAAACUACAUCCUUGCAAAAUACAGUUGCGAAAUGACCGAUUCUCAAACGGUAGAGGGAACACUGCUUAGACACAGAAGGCAGCGGUACAUUUGCCAGACAGAUGGGGAGCGUCGGCGGGUCCCUCCCUGCUCUGGAAAGCUUGCUCGCCCGCGCGCGCGCGCUGUGCGUGCCAGGCUGCGUUCAAGAGCACCGUUCCCAUCCCCUGGUUGGAAUCUAGCCUGGCCUUCAGCUCGGUGGAAAGGCCGUGGGAUUCUGGAGAGCGGAGGGUCUGUCCUGGCCGCUUGGCCUCGGGUGACAAUUCUUUUUGUUCGAAUCUAAGCAUGGUUGCUCGACAGCCUUGUGCCGGUUUCUGCCGCACAGCAUAGUGACCCACUUGCACACAUGCACACACUCAUUUUCUCACACUGUCUUCCAUCGCAGUCCCUCCCAAGAGACUGGACACGGUUCCCCGUGCUGUACAGCAGGACGUCAUCGCCUAUGCAUUUCCUGUGAAGAUUCUAACGGCUUCUCGCCAUCUGUCCAUAUUCACUGGGGCCCGUCCUGGGUUGAAGGGAGUGAGGCUCUCGGCUUGGGUACAAAUUUUAAGUGUGGGGGUGAGGAGAGUGCAGACAUCUCAGUGAUCAAGAGAGAUAAUUUUUUUUUUUGGUCUUUUUAGGGCCACACCUGCAGCAUAGGGAGGUUCCCAGUCUAGGGGAAUCCAGCUUGGAAUCAGAGCUGUAGCCACCAGCCUACCCCAGAGCCACAGCAAUGCCAGAUCCGAACUGCGUCUGCGACCUACACCACAGCUCACAGCAACACCGGAUCCUUAACCCACUGAGCGAGGCCAGGAAUGGAACUCGCAACCUCAUGGUUCCUGGAUGGAUUCUUUUCCAAUGUACCACGAUGGGAACGCCAAGAGAUAAUAUUUUAAUGCAGCGUUUCCUUAAAAUUUCCCAGUUAAAAUGGUGGGAAAAAUCAACGAGGAAGAAAUGCCCACAUGUUAACGGAAGACGGGCUCUCGCAGGGCUGCGAGUAGGGCAAGGUGAGGCGACGAGUCCUGCAAAGCUCAGGGUGGAAAUGUUGAUGUUGCGCUCCUCACGGACUGGAGGCAUUAUCCUUUCUUUUUUAAGCAAACGGCACUGGCACCGGGGCCUUCUCGUGGCUCAGGAGCCUGAGAAUCAGGCAUGAUCCCUGCAGCAGUUCCCUUCGCUGCUGCAGUGUGGCUGCGCGCCCUGGCCGGGGACUUUCGCGUGCCUCUGCUGCGCAGUAUUGCCCUGAGUCCUGAGGACUCGGCUUCCCUUACGUGGUGCGCCCAGGUGAACACCUCGGGGGCCCGCCAGCCCCUCCCCCCGCAGCAUCUCUGAUCCUUUCUCUCUGUCCCCACCGUGAACACCCUCGUUCUUUCCACCACCGCGUCUGGCUGGAGCCGGCACAGCAAACUCCCCGCCACCCGCUGCAUCCUGGUCUGGACACGACCUCCAAGCUGCUGGCACUGAAACUCGGGGUGACUUCCUCCGCAAACCCUCCCCCCAAAGCCCACUCCCAUCAUCCUCUCCCACCGUCUAGAUGUCUCCCCCCUGCCUCCCCCACCCCCAUCCCCACCAUCGCCCAGUUUGGGUUAUAGCAACUGAUGCUGCUAUUUUCUCACCUCUUUUCAGUUCUCUGCGCCAUUUCCCAGGGUGGGGGACCGGUCACACAAGUGUGAUGUCAUUUCAGAUGGUCCGGCUCCAAGGACAAUUAAACUUUACCAUACAAUGUUAUACCCUUGGGAGUUCCCGUGGUGGCUCAGUGGAUUAAGAACCCGACACAGUGUCUGCGAGGAUGCGGGUUCAAUCCCUGGCCUCGCUCAGUAGGUUAAGGACCUGGCACUGCCACAAGCUGUGACUUAGAUAACAGAUGCGGCUAGGAUCCCGCGUUCCUGUGGCUGUGGUGUAGGUGGGCAGCUGCAGCUCCCACUCGACCCCUCGCCUGGGAACCUCCAUGUGCUGCAGGUGCCACUGUAAAAGGAAAAAAAAAAAAAA